GAAAAUGUUCUGGAGAAGAGGGAAUCUGAAUUUGGCUUUGAAAUUUGAAUAGUGGUCCUAAGGCACAAGGGACAGAAUUCCUGGCAGCAGGAUCCAAGAUGGGAAAGGCCCAGAGAUGGGGCAGGUUAUUAUGCAUUUGAAGACCUCUGGAUUUGCUGAAGCAGCUGCAGAAUAUAUAGGUAAGAAUAUUUUCCACCAUUGCUGCUCAGACGUAUCGCUUUAUGAAGGAGGUGGAAGGAGGUCAGAUCAUACUCAGCACUUCCGAGUGGGGAAGAAAGAGGGAGGACUAGGACCUGGACUCAAGGAUUCUGCUCCAGACCUUUACUUGCACCACAAGCCUUCCUCCUCUGCCUCAUCCAUGCUCCCUAGUAUGCCGAGGAUGCAGCCCCAGCCAGAGGCUUCAGAAAGCUUUAAGGAUUCUCGUGUUCCUUGGAAUCAAGCCUGGAAAUGGAAAUCUGGUGUAGUCUCAUGUUGUGAGGCAAUGCAGCCCAGCCUUUGA
rnacentral:lncRNA from 1 species